UGUUGCUUAGUGAAGGUGGUAAGUCUUGCAUAUCUUCCAAUUUAACCUCUGGGGCUAAACAUUCUGGCAAAGGUACAUGAGAAUGAUCAACUUAUUUGAUAUUGGUAUAGUUGCACAUAUGUACAGCGCUGUGGUUUGAAAGACUACUACUACAUGCUAUAUAGCUGAAGCCAUUUUCCUCUUUUUGUGAUCAUAGGAGUAUAUAUAUACAAUAUAUGUGUUUUUCGUUAAGAUUUAUGUUAACAACAGAAGGGUUAUCUGUUGGCCCCGAACUUUGUAAAAAGCAUUUUUGUCUCUGAUCCUACAUAACAUAAUUGCACAUAAUUUUAGAUGUUGGGUAAGGGUUGCGCAUGCUUUGAUAUACAGGCUUGCUGAUGCUGUCAUUUCUGUUAUUUUGCUUUUCUCCUUUGUUUCCCCUCCCGCAUAUAUAUUUACCUAUUUUAGAAGGGUUUUUUGUAAAAGUUAUAUUUGAAGUAUGAUAACCUGAUAUAUUUGGAAGAUUAUAAUUCUAUAGGCAUAGUAAUUUAUUUGACCCUCCAAUAACAUUUUAGCUUUCAAUUUGACUUUUUAUACCCGAGUAUGCUGUAAGCCUCCAAUUCUUACUUGGUUAUCUGACUAGAAAUUAAGACUAGAGAAUCGGGUGUCUUAGAUUUAAUUUGACUAAUGCAUUCUGUUCCUUGUUCUAAUGUGCAGGGGUGAUUUGAUCCCUCUUGUAGUUAAGUCCUUGAAGAAUCCUAGGUAUUGUAAAGAUACUCACUGAACAUUUAUAAUUUACCAUUAUGGUGGGGGAUUUUUACUGCAAACAAAGGGUCAAAAUUUAAAGAAGAUUGCAUGAAAACCAUAUGGCAACGAGUGGACUGUGAGAGAUCCUAUAAAAGUGUGAGAGACGGAUUCGUUUUUGUGAUAAGGCAAUAAAGAGAGUAGGUCCGAAGCCAGAAAAAGAAAAAAAAAUGACGAGUAAUUAUUUCACCUAUAUACUCAACUCAUUAAUGAUUAUUUUGAUGUAUAAUAUUUUAUAACUUUUUUUCCUUAUUUUAUCUGGAAGGAAGUCCAUUUUUUUUCCAGUCUUAAUCAGGGUCUAUGGCCCCUUGGUUAAAUGGGAAAUUUUCAUUUUUAGUCUCUCCUAAAUAUUAAUAUUGUAAAUUUAAGCCUUUUACCCCUUGGAUAAAUGGAAAAAUUAUAUUUUUGGCUGCUCCUAAAAUUUUUUAGCUUUAGCUCCCUCAUACAAAGUUCAUGGCUUCAUCCCUGUUCUGCAGAAUACUGUACAUGGAGUUUGUCUGAAAAUAGAACAGCAUAAUUAGGAAGUCAUUAUAUGCUUAAUGUGCUAGUAAUUUGUUGGUAAGUAAAUGAAGUUUCUGUUUAUUUGAACUUUGGUUUUACUUUAUGCUAAAUGUUGGUAGGGCAUAUACUAGUUGAUGUACAGGCUCGUGACUAGUAGCAUGCCCGCAUUUGUCUACAUGUAUUAUGUGCCUGUCAAUUAUUAUACAUGGUUUAAUCAAGCUCAUAACCAGUUGAUGUAAAAAAUUCAUUUGAUUAUGCUGUGCUGGGUGGAUCUUCUAAACUUGCUGCCAUUAUUGUUACAUAUCCAUUUCAGGUAUGCAUCCUUAUAAUUGGUGUGAAGUCUUUGUAUAACCUCAUUUUCUCUUCGUUGGCUAGUCAUGAUGCCUUAUGAGGUGUGCG
rnacentral:lncRNA from 1 species